rnacentral:rRNA from 1 species
CCUACGGGCGGCAGCAGUGAGGAAUAUUGGUCAAUGGGCGCAAGCCUGAACCAGCCAAGUCGCGUGAGGGAUGACGGUCCUAUGGAUUGUAAACCUCUUUUGUCGGGGAGCAAGGCCCGCCACGUGUGGCGGGAAGGAGAGUACCCGAAGAAAAAGCAUCGGCUAACUCCGUGCCAGCAGCCGCGGUAAUACGGAGGAUGCGAGCGUUAUCCGGAUUUAUUGGGUUUAAAGGGUGCGUAGGCGGAAGGUUAAGUCAGCGGGAAAAUGUCGGUGCUCAACACCGGCCUGCCGUUGAAACUGGUCUUCUUGAGUGAGCGAGAAGUAUGCGGAAUGCGUGGUGUAGCGGUGAAAUGCAUAGAUAUCACGCAGAACUCCGAUUGCGAAGGCAGCAUACCGGCGCUCAACUGACGCUGAGGCACGAAAGCGUGGGGAGCGAACAGGAUUAGAUACCCUGGUAGUC